AUCCAGUUGACAAGUCUCAAAUAGGACGAACCACGCUUUGUCCUGGAU
rnacentral:hammerhead_ribozyme from 1 species